rnacentral:rRNA from 1 species
GGAUCUCUUGGUUCUGGCAUCGAUGAAGAACGCAGCGAAAUGCGAUAAGUAGUGUGAAUUGCAGAAUUCAGUGAAUCAUCGAAUCUUUGAACGCACAUUGCGCCCCUUGGUAUUCCGAGGGGCAUGCCUGUUCGAGCGUCAUUUGUACCCUCAAGCUAUGCUUAGUGUUGGGUGUUUGUCCUAUCCAUUGCGACUGGACUCGCCUUAAAGAUAUUGGCAGCCGGCAUUUUGGCCUUGGAGCGCAGCACAAUUUGCGAGUCCAAGCCGGAAUACUGACGUCCAGUAAGCUUUUUACCACGUCUGACCUCGGAUCAGGUAGGGAUACCCGCUGAACUUAAGCAUAUCAAUAAGCGGAGGA